rnacentral:tRNA from 1 species
ACAGUGGUAGUUCAUUGGUAGAAUUCUCACCUUUCACGUGGGAGAUCCAGGUUUAAUUCCCAGCCAGUA